GACGAACGCUGGCGGCGUGCUUAACACAUGCAAGUCGAACGGAAAGGCCCUGCUUGCAGGGUACUCGAGUGGCGAACGGGUGAGUAACACGUGGGUGAUCUGCCCUGCACUUCGGGAUAAGCCUGGGAAACUGGGUCUAAUACCGGAUAGGAGCCUUUACUAGUGUGAUGGUUGUGAAGUUUUUUCGGUGUAGGAUGGGCUCGCGGCCUAUCAGCUUGUUGGUGGGGUAAUGGCCUACCAAGGCGGCGACGGGUAGCCGGCCUGAGAGGGUGGACGGCCACAUAGGGGACGGGAACACGCCCAGACUCCUACGGGAGGGAGGCGUGGGGAAUAAUGCAAAAUGGGCGCAAGGCUGAUGCAGCGAAGCCGCGGUGGGGAUGACGGCCUUCGGGUUGGAAACUCCUUUCGAUAAGGACGAAACUUAUUGUGACGGUACCUAGAGAAGAAGCACCGGCUAACUACGUG
rnacentral:rRNA from 1 species